rnacentral:tRNA from 1 species
GGAACUGUGCCUGAGUGACACAAGGGCCACUUUGAUAGAGUGAAUUACGGGGGUUAAAAUCCCCUCAGCUCCU